UAGGGAAUCUUGCGCAAUGGGCGAAAGCCUGACGCAGCCAUGCCGCGUGAACGAUGAAGGUCUUAGGAUUGUAAAAUUCUUUCACCGGGGAAGAUAAUGACGGUACCCGGAGAAGAAGCCCCGGCUAACUUCGUGCCAGCAGCCGCGGUAAUACGAAGGGGGCUAGCGUUGCUCGGAAUUACUGGGCGUAAAGGGCGCGUAGGCGGAUAUUUAAGUUGGGGGUGAAAGCCCGGGGCUCAACCUCGGAAUAGCCUUCAAUACUGGAUAUCUUGAGUUCGGGAGAGGUGAGUGGAAUGCCGAGUGUAGAGGUGAAAUUCGUAGAUAUUCGGCGGAACACCAGUGGCGAAGGCGACUCACUGGCCCGAUACUGACGCUGAGGCGCGAAAGCGUGGGGAGCAAACAGGAUUAGAUACCCUGGUAGUCCACGCCGUAAAACGAUGAGUGCUAGUUGUCGGCAUGCAUGCAUGUCGGUGACGCAGCUAACGCAUUAAGCACUCCGCCUGGGGGAGUACGGUCGCAAGAUU
rnacentral:rRNA from 1 species